UUUACAUUAACCUGACUUAAUUGUUUGGCUUUAGUUAUGUCAACUUACUUUCAUGAGUUCAAUUAACUUAAAAGACACACAUUUCAUCUAAAACAAACGGUUAACUUUGAGUUGACGUGAACCAAUUAAGUUGAAUGCAGUUUUACGUCUGACGUCAUUACGCAAGCUUUGCCCGAGACAGAUCCACUUCUUGUACCGACCGCUUGUGCAGCCGCCAUUUCUUCUGACCAUCGACUGUCCACCGGAUUGUAAAACAGCCUGGAGCCAAGCAUCAUCAGACCAUAGAAGUGUUUCACUUCAUGUGGAGAUGCAAAGACUGCGAGAGCUUGUUUUCCAGAAGAUCUGAAUUGCUCAAGCACUACAAACUAAACCACAGGCAUUAUGGACGGGGCUAUUCAUAUCCAUGCACAUAUUUAAGUUGCGCAUGUAGAUUCAAGACCUAAAAUUUUGGCAGAGGUGGAAUUUGCAUAAUUUUGAAGAGCAUUAUUAACCCGGUGGACAUGUGGGCUGCACAUUAUGGUGGAGGACAUUGGGAUUCGAAGGGAAUGUGUUCUGAAAGGGCUCAUCACCUUUCUUGGAGAGGAUCCAGAAGACCUUAUUAAGGAAUACAGUGGCAGCUGUGGAGAUGAUGCCCAGAUGGAUCUCAAACAACUCACCCUGGCAAUGUUUGUG